GAGGAAUAUUGGUCAAUGGACGAGAGUCUGAACCAGCCAAGUCGCGUGAGGGAAGACUGCCCUAUGGGUUGUAAACCUCUUUUAUAAGGGAAGAAUAAGUUCUACGUGUAGAAUGAUGCCUGUACCUUAUGAAUAAGCAUCGGCUAACUCCGUGCCAGCAGCCGCGGUAAUACGGAGGAUGCGAGCGUUAUCCGGAUUUAUUGGGUUUAAAGGGUGCGUAGGCGGUUUAUUAAGUUAGUGGUUAAAUAUUUGAGCUAAACUCAAUUGUGCCAUUAAUACUGGUAAACUGGAGUACAGACGAGGUAGGCGGAAUAAGUUAAGUAGCGGUGAAAUGCAUAGAUAUAACUUAGAACUCCGAUAGCGAAGGCAGCUUACCAGACUGUAACUGACCCUGAUGCACGAGAGCGUGGGUAGCGAAC
rnacentral:rRNA from 1 species